rnacentral:rRNA from 1 species
UACGAAGGGGGCUAGCGUUGCUCGGAAUCACUGGGCGUAAAGGGUGCGUAGGCGGGUCUUUAAGUCAGGGGUGAAAUCCUGGAGCUCAACUCCAGAACUGCCUUCAAUACUGGCGACCUUGAGUAUGAGAGAGGUGUGUGGAACUCCGAGUGUAGAGGUGAAAUUCGUAGAUAUUCGGAAGAACACCAGUGGCGAAGGCGACACACUGGCUCAUUACUGACGCUGAGGCGCGAAAGCGUGGGGAGCAAACAGG